CAAUAGCGUAUAUUAAAGUUGUUGCGGUUAAAAAGCUCGUAGUUGGAUUUCGGCGGACAGGGGGCGGUUCGAUAUUUGUCGCUACUGCCCCAUUUGUCCGUGUUUUUGGCGGAGGUUUCAGGGUGCUCUUCACCGAGUGUCCUGGGAUGCAGUCAGGUUUACUUUGAAAAAAUUAGAGUGCUCAAAGCAGGCUUUACACGCUUGAAUAUUCGUGCAUGGAAUAAUGGAAUAGGACGUCGUUUCUAUUUUGUUGGUUUUCGGAAAUCGACGUAAUGAUUAACAGGGACAGUCGGGGGCAUUAGUAUUCAGACGACAGAGGUGAAAUUCUUGGACCGUCUGAAGACUAACUACUGCGAAAGCAUUUGCCAAGAAUGUUUUCAUUAA
rnacentral:rRNA from 1 species